rnacentral:rRNA from 1 species
GACAGAGGCCUCGAGCGUUAGGCGGAAUCACUGGGCUUAAAGCGUGUGUAGGCGGACCCGUAAGUGUCUUGUGAAAUCCCACGGCUCAACCGUGGAACUGCUGGGCAUACUGCGGGUCUUGAGCCGGCCAGGGGUCACCGGAACAAGCGGUGGAGCGGUGAAAUGCGUAGAUAUCGCUUGGAACGCCAACGGUGAAAACAGGUGACUGGGGCCGCGCUGACGCUGAGACACGAAAGCCAGGGGAGCGAACGGG